rnacentral:tRNA from 1 species
AGCAGCUUGGCUGAGCGGUCUAAGGCGCUGGAUUAAGGCACCAGUCUUUUUGGGGGUCUGGGUUCGAAUCCCACCGCUGCCA